rnacentral:rRNA from 2 species
UUCCUACGGGAGGCAGCAGUGGGGAAUAUUGCACAAUGGGCGCAAGCCUGAUGCAGCCAUGCCGCGUGAGUGAUGAAGGCCCUAGGGUUGUAAAGCUCUUUCACCGGUGAAGAUAAUGACGGUAGCCGGAAAAGAAGCCCCGGCUAACUUCGUGCCAGCAGCCGCGGUAAUACGAAGGGGGCUAGCGUUGUUCGGAAUUACUGGGCGUAAAGCGCGCGUAGGCGGAUUCUUAAGUCAGGGGUGAAAUCCCGAGGCUCAACCUCGGAACUGCCUUUGAUACUGAGAGUCUCGAGUCCGGGAGAGGUGAGUGGAACUCCUAGUGUAGAGGUGAAAUUCGUAGAUAUUAGGAAGAACACCAGUGGCGAAGGCGGCUCACUGGCCCGGUACUGACGCUGAGGCGCGAAAGCGUGGGGAGCAAACAGGAUUAGAUACCCUGGUAGUCCACGCCGUAAACGAUGGAUGCUAGCUGUCGGGCAGUAUACUGUUCGGUGGCGCAGUUAACGCAUUAAGCAUCCCGCCUGGGGAGUACGGUCGCAAGAUUAAAACUCAAAUGAAUUGACGGAA